rnacentral:rRNA from 1 species
CCUAAACUCAGAUAUUUCAAAUACAAAAAUAUCCGCCAGAAAACUACGAGCAAAACGCUUAAAACUCCAAGGACUUGGCGGUACCUCAAAUCCCCCUAGAGGAGCCUGUUCUAUAAUCGAUAAUCCACGAUAGACCUCACCAUCCUUUGCCAACCCAGCCUAUAUACCACCGUCACAGCCUACCUUAUGAAAGACAAAAAGUAAGCUAAAUAGUUAUAAUAACUAAAAAGUCAGGUCAAGGUGUAGCUAAUUAGAAUGGAAGAAAUGGGCUACAUUUUCUACUAUAGAAAUAACUACGGAACAGAGCCAUGAAACAUGAUCUAGACAAAGCAGGAUUUAGCAGUAAACUGAGAACAGAGAGCUCAAUUUAAAACGGACCUGAGGUGCGC